AUUGAACGCUGGCGGCAGGCCUAACACAUGCAAGUCGAGCGAGCGGCGGACGGGUGAGUAAUGUAUGGGGACUGCCCGAUAGAGGGGGAUAACUACUGGAAACGGUAGCUAAUAACGCAUACUAUCGGAUACCCCAUAUGGGAUUAGCUAGGAGGUGGGGUAAAGGCUCACCAAGGCAACGAUCCGUAGCUGGUUUGAGAGGAGGACAAGCCACACUGGAACUGAGACACGGCCCAGACUCCUACGGAGGCAGCAGUGGGGAAUUUUGGACAAUGGGGGAAACCCUGAUCCAGCCAGCCCGCGUGUAUGAUGAAGGCCUUCGGGUUGUAAAGUACUUUUGGCAGAGAAGCGGUAUCUGCAGAAUAAGCACCGGCUAACUACGUGCCAGCCGCCGCGGUAAUAC
rnacentral:rRNA from 1 species